rnacentral:rRNA from 1 species
CAGCCGCCGCGGUAAUACGGAGGGUCCGAGCGUUAUCCGGAAUUAUUGGGUUUAAAGGGUCCGUAGGCGGGCCAUUAAGUCAGGAGUGAAAGUCUGCGGCUCAACCGUAGAAUUGCCUUUGAUACUGGUGGUCUUGAGUUAUGGUGAAGUGGCUGGAAUAUGUAGUGUAGCGGUGAAAUGCAUAGAUAUUACAUAGAACACCGAUUGCGAAGGCAGGUCACUAACCAUAUACUGACGCUGAUGGACGAAAGCGUGGGGAGCGAACAGGAUUAGAUACCCUGGUAGUCCACGCCGUAAACGAUGGAUACUAGCUGUCCGGGGCUUUAAGUCCUGGGCGGCCAAGCGAAAGUGAUAAGUAUCCCACCUGGGGAGUACGUUCGCAAGAAUGAAACUCAAAGGAAUUGACGGGGGCCCGCACAAGCGGUGGAGCAUGUGGUUUAAUUCGAUGAUACGCGAGGAACCUUACCAGGGCUUAAAUGCAUAUUGACAGGGGUAGAGAUACCUUUUUCUUCGGGCAAUUUGCAAGGUGCUGCAUGGUUGUCGUCAGCUCGUGCCGUGAGGUGUCAGGUUAAGUCCUAUAACGAGCGCAACCCCUACCGUUAGUUGCCAGCGAGUCAUGUCGGGGACUCUAACGGGACUGCCGGUGCAAACCGUGAGGAAGGUGGGGAUGACGUCACAUCAUCACGGCCCUUACGUCCUGGGCCACACACGUGCUACAAUGGCCGGUACAGAGAGCAGCCAUCUGGCAACAGAGAGCGAAUCUACAAAACCGGUCACAGUUCGGAUCGGGGUCUGCAACUCGACCCCGUGAAGCUGGAAUCGCUAGUAAUCGGAUAUCAGCCAUGAUCCGGUGAAUACGUUCCCGGGCCUUGUACACACCGCCCGUCAAGCCAUGGAAGCCGGGAGUGCCUGAAGUCCGUCACCGUAAGGAGCGGCCUAGGGCAAGAUCGGUAACUAGGGCUAAGUCGUAACAAGGUAACCGUA